rnacentral:lncRNA from 1 species
UCCAGCCUGUUCCGCAGCUGCCCAAACUGCUCCUCAAGAUCAGCCUUGGCUGAGGAGGCCACCUGCGCGGCUAGCAACGAUGCCUCCGGCGAACCAGGUGUGAUGUUUUUCAGAUUGGGGACAAAGUCUUCAGCAGCUGCCGACAACGGCUCCGCCACCCGGGUUUGCACUGCUGACAGGGACUGUACAGCCGCCGACAACCCCUGAACCUCUGCGCGCGCUGCUGCAAUUUCCUUUGCCCGCUCACUGAGACCGCCCUGCAAGGCUGCAACCCGGUCCUGUAGCCUGGCUACGUCCUCUUGAACGGCCAUGAAUGCGGAAUCCAGCUCGGUGGUUGCGUGUACAGAGGGCGCCUUGUUCUCGACUGCCUGCAGCGCCGAGUGCAAUGCCUCCACGUCUGCCCGGGUCGCGGCAACCUGCAGGCGACCCUCGAGGAAUGCCACCUGCCCCUGAAGCUCCAAGACCUUUGCCUUCAGCUGACCAGCAGCAACAUCCACCGCCAUGUCCACAGGUGCGACCCCAAGGAGCUGUUGCUGCUGCAACUGCUCCUGCUGCUGUUGGAGUUGCCAUUUCUGCUGUUUCAUUUCGCCAGAUAGUUCAUCGAUCUGUUUACUUGCCCGCGCGGCGAAUUCCUUCAGCUCCUUGUUCUCUACCAGCAAAUUAGGUACCUGGGACAUCAGAUACGACAACUGGCGACGCACCUCAGCGCCCUCCUCUGCCGCCACCCUGCAAGGAACACGGCCAGACCUCCACUCAGCCAGCCCUACGACUGAAAUCGGUAUUUUGUUAGUCCAUUCUUCCUACGUGGAAAGACCAGCCCCACCCAGAUACGCACCCUGUGACAAAGCAUGUGGCCGGCUCUGAUGCGUGAGAGGCAACAGGCGCCAGCUUGGCCUGCAGUUGGUCCCGUAGCUCGAGCACAUCGCGACACAAGUCCCGCACCAUGCUGCGAAGCUCCUCUUGAGCAGUCACCAGCUCAACGAGAGACUGCGCAAGUGAGAUGCGAGGAUACAAUAAAUAUACCUGGCCCAACCCAAUGGCGCAGCACACACAAGCACCCAGCUUGGGCGUACGGAAACGGGGUCGCAACAUGGCGUCAGGUUGCGUCGUGGCCCUGCUUUCUAAGCAAUUCACAGGAAAUUUGCAGUCUGAAACCUUUCCCCUAAUGAUUCAAUAUCCGGGGAACAGCCUUGCCAAACAUGUGGCAAUUUGGCAGUCUUUCAGUUUCAGGGCUGUUUUCAACGACGAGGCUUCAGCAGCAAGGAGCGCGACCUACCGGGGCCAGAGUUCCUUCCUGCUCGUUGGAUGAUUCCCCGUUACCCGUUUUUUGUUGCCCCGCGGCUGACUCCACGGCAUGUAUGCGCUGCGUCAGCAGAGCCAGCGCCUGGUCGUUGCUGCUGGUUUUCUUCUCCACCUUAUACAUAUGGGCACGUAACUUGUUGAGCAGCUCGCCCAUGUCGUGCACACGCAGGGACAACUCGCUAGGGCUGUUGCGGCUCUCUGGACCUGCUGACGAUGUAGCGACAUCCCGCGCAACCUGAGGCCAUAAACACAGGGCGAGUACAUGCCUAAUCUCGUUCCAUGAUGCUGUGUAACGAAUAAACAAGUCCUUGAUACUCUGUGACUAAGCAUAUCCAUGGUACUGUCUGAAUAAUCAUACGUCAGACUUCAGGAUGGGUACUGCAGAUGCUUUGUACCGCAACGGCAAGUCGUGUGGCUCCUGUCAAGGGCCGCUCGUGCGGCCCAUGUAAGAAGGUGUUACAGCGCGUCUGUAUCCGCACGCCCGCAUGUCGGGUGCUGUAGGCCGGGUGUCAUAAAACCCCAACCCUCCAUGAUACGCCGGUCCUGUAUACUCACCGACAAGAGCUGCUUCUGCAGGGUUUCAACCAGCUGGUCCUGACGGAUGAUAUGCGCCUCCAGGAAAUCCAAGCCGGCAAUGAGCUUGUGAAUCUGCGCUGCGUGCUGU